rnacentral:rRNA from 1 species
GUGUCAGCCGCCGCGGUAAAACCAGCACCUCAAGUGGUCAGGAGGGUUAUUGGGCCUAAAGCAUCCGUAGCCGGCUAUGUCAGUUUUCGGUUAAAUCCAUGUGCUCAACACAUGGGCUGUCGAGAAUACUACAUAGCUAGGGAGUGGGAGAGGUAGACGGUACUCGGUAGGAAGGGGUAAAAUCCUUUGAUCUAUUGAUGACCACCAGUGGCGAAGGCGGUCUACCAGAACACGUCCGACGGUGAGGGAUGAAAGCUGGGGGAGCAAACCGGAUUAGAUACCCGGGUAGUCCCAGCUGUAAACUAUGCAAACUCAGUGAUGCAUUGGCUUGUGGCCAGUGCAGUGCCGCAGAGAAGUCGUUAAGUUUGCCGCCUGGGAAGUACGUACGCAAGUAUGAAACUUAAAGGAAUUGGCGGGGGAGCACCACAAGGGGUGAAGCCUGCGGUUCAAUUGGAGUCAACGCCAGAAAUCUUACCCGGGGAGACAGCAGAAUGAAGGUCAAGCUGAAGACUUUACCAGACAAGCUGAGAAGUGGUGCAUGGCCGUCGCCAGCUCGUGCCGUGAGGUGUCCUGUUAAGUCAGGUAACGAGCGAGAUCCCUGCCUCUAGUUGCCGCCAUUACUCUCAGGAGUAGUGGGGCGAAUUAGCGGGACUGCCGCAGUUAAUGCGGAGGAAGGAGGGGGCCACGGCAGGUCAGUAUGCCCUGAAACUCUGGGGCCACACGCGGGCUGCAAUGGUAGUUACAGUGAGUUCCGAAUCCGAAAGGAGGAGGUAAUCUUCAAACGCUACCACAGUUAUGAUUGAGGGCUGCAACUCGCCCUCAUGAAUAUGGAAUCCCUAGUAACUGCGUGUCAUUACCGCGCGGUGAAUACGUCCCUGCUCCUUGCACACACCGCCCGUC